UACCAGCACCCCGAGUGGUCGGGACGAUUAUUGGGCCUAAAGCAUCCGUAGCCGGUCCCACAAGUCCUCCGUUAAAUCCAACUGCUUAACAGAUGGGCCGCGGAGGAUACUAUGGGGCUAGGAGGCAGGAGAGGCAAGCGGUACUCAGUGGGUAGGGGUAAAAUCCGUUGAUCCACUGAAGACCACCAGUGGCGAAGGCGGCUUGCCAGAAUGCGCUCGACGGUGAGGGAUGAAAGCUGGGGGGAGCAAACCGG
rnacentral:rRNA from 1 species